GACAGAGGGUGCAAGCGUUGUUCGGAAUCAUUGGGCGUAAAGGGCGCGUAGGCGGUUUUGUAAGUCGGAUGUGAAAGCCCAGGGCUCAACCUUGGAAGUGCAUCCGAAACUGCGAAGCUGGAGUCUCGGAGAGGGUGGUAGAAUUCCCAGUGUAGAGGUGAAAUUCGUAGAUAUUGGGAGGAAUACCGGUGGCGAAGGCGACCACCUGGACGAAGACUGACGCUGAGGCGCGAGAGCGUGGGGAGCAAACAGG
rnacentral:rRNA from 1 species